GAUGAACGCUGGCGGCGUGCCUAAUACAUGCAAGUCGAGCGAACAGACGAGGAGCUUGCUCCUCUUACGUUAGCGGCGGACGGGUGAGUAACACGUGGAUAACCUACCUAUAAGACUGGGAUAACUUCGGGAAACCGGAUCUAAUACCGGAUAAUAUAUUGAACCGCAUGGUUCAAUAGUGAAAGACGGUUUUGCUGUCACUUAUAGAUGGAUCCGCGCCGCAUUAGCUAGUUGGUAAGGUAACGGCUUACCAAGGCAACGAUGCGUAGCCGACCUGAGAGGGUGAUCGGGCACACUGGAACUGAGACACGGUCCAGACUCCUAAGGGAGGCAGCAGUAGGGAAUCUUCCGCAAUGGGCGAAAGCCUGACGGAGCAACGCCGCGUGAGUGAUGAAGGUCUUCGGAUCGUAAAACUCUGUUAUUAGGGAAGAACAAAUGUGUAAGUAACUAUGCACGUCUUGACGGUACCUAAUCAGAAAGCCACGGCUAACUACGUG
rnacentral:rRNA from 1 species